rnacentral:rRNA from 1 species
UACGUAGGUGGCAAGCGUUGUCCGGAAUUACUGGGCGUAAAGCGCGUGUAGGUGGUGGGACAAGUCUGCUGUGAAAGCGCCUGGCUUAACCGGGCGAGGUCGGCGGAAACUGUCCGACUCGAGGACGGUAGAGGGGGGUGGAAUUCCCGGUGUAGUGGUGAAAUGUGUAGAGAUCGGGAGGAACACCUGUGGCGAAGGCGGCCCCCUGGGCCGGCCCUGACACUGAGACGCGAAGGCGUGGGGAGCGAACGGG